CAUGAGUAACCCUCUAAUGGAGCCUCAUGUUAUUUCACAUGUCAGUGUGAAAAGCAGUUCAAAAAAAGUGUUUUUUUUUUGCAUUAUUCUCACAGUACAAUGUGGCAUUUUCCAGAGAAAUGUAUUCCCUACCUCAUACUAUGAUAGGAAUGGAUAGGGGCUCACAUGGUUUUAAUACUGACAAUGCAAAGUGGCACACAAGUACGCCAGCAUAUUCAUGUCUGAAUUAAAAAUAAAAAGGAUUACCAAAAUGAGUUAUGCAAAAGAAGUGUCAUGAAAUGGUGGCAUUAUAUCAAUGAUGUGCUGGUUUGUGGGAUGGUACAUACAUACCUGAAUUUUCAUUUAAAAAAUAAAAAGUAACAAGCUUUAAACUAAUCUGUAUAGGAAACCUAGAUAAGAACACUACCCUACACAUUACCAUGCUCCGACGGUCUUUAAAGCUGUACCUAUAAGUCAAUAUAUGAAAGUAAAGAGGCUAGUCUCUAAAAACAGACAGUUCAUCAAGAACAAGUAGCCAUGACAGAAAGGUUCAAACAAUGAGGCUAUCCUGUUGGGAUUGGAUGCUUCAUUAAGUAAUGUAGGAGAUCGGGAUCAAAGAGCUGUUCAUCUCAGACCACCUAAGCGUGAGAAGAGAAUCAAAUUUAUUUCAUGCUAUGGUAC